GAGGGUAUAGCUCAGUGGUAGAGUGCAUGCCUAACAUGGGUUCAAUCCCCAGUACUUCCA
rnacentral:tRNA from 1 species